GCGGGCAUAGUUUAAUGAUAGAACCGCAGCCUUCCAAGCUGCUGAUGUGGGUUUGAUUCCCAUUGUCCGCU
rnacentral:tRNA from 1 species